CUUGAUGGCUAUGUCAUCGAUGAUGGGUCCACAUUCCGGGUCAUCUUCCAUGCCCGGAUUCCUAAAAAUCAACUGGGCUUUAUCCUCCUCCGCCUCAAAAGAAAUCGUGUAAGGGUCCCACCCUUGCACGUUGUACAAUGUCUGCAGGUCCACCGUUUGCGAUGCAGGUGGUACGGACACGUUCAGUGACUCCAUCUGCGCGCAAGUGCGUGCCGCACUGAACGUAACCGCGUACGCCGAUCCUUUCUCAACCGUCACUUCCUGACUGAUCUCCGCGUCGUUGCCCAAUCUGACGGCGUGCCUGCCUCGGGGUACG
rnacentral:lncRNA from 1 species